UGCGAGCUUCAUCAUGCAAAGCGGUGGAACUUCAAGUAUAAAAAGAUAAGUUUUCGUACUAUGACAACCAUGUUGGAGAGUGGAGAUGCAGAUGUAUUAUAUACAUCUCUGUUACUCUUUAUCUUCAACAAUUUUUCUUAUUAUAUAAAGAAGAGAAUCACUCUCUUUUCAUCAAAACACGUCAGUAAAUAGGUUUUUUUGAGUUCGACACAUGGCAGUAAAUUUCACCGCAGUGUUUCAUUUAACUCUGUAACAUGUGUUACGUGGGCUUUGUAUGUGGCCCUUAAGUUUGCACGAUUCAGCCAGCCCAGCAAUGAGUUUCUCCACUUCUAAACGCUGUUUUGAACGUCGUUUAUAUAUUAGGUUUUUUUUUUGCUUUCAUCUCGGCCAUUAGAUAUCGACACAGAACCAAAAUUCUGAAAAGUUGUUUAGCUUCUUACUAACAAUUUCUACCAGUUGCAGAUUCGCAAAGUCCUUAUUAAAUCAUCACCCGACCAUGAUCUAUGCGAGCUUCAUCAUGCAAAGCGGUGGAACUUCAAGUAUAAAAAGAUAAGUUUUCGUACUAUGACAACCAUGUUGGAGAGCCGAGAUGCAGAUGUACUAUAUACAUCUCUGUUACUCUUUGUCUUCAACAAUUUUCAUCUUCUAUUUCUAGGGUUCUUGGUGUUCUUCACCUUCUCCUUUCAUAAACCGAUCAUUGAGUUUCUGGAAGUUAAUGGGAGGUGACUUUAUACAGCAGAUCUCUAGAGCAAUUUGAUUUUUGUGUCGUUUGGACAGGUUUUUUAUGCCGAGUAAGUCGCAGAGAAUGCCGGAGCUGAUAUGAUAAGCAAGCAGAGACAACAGCAAGAAGGGAAUCACAGGAGAAAGACCGUACUCUCAGUGCUCUGGUACAGAAUGAUGUACGGUCCUGAAGAUGCUAUAUGCAUAAGAGAUUGAAGAAGCUACUUACAGGUUCACGAGCAACAGAAAAGUAGGAGAAGGCUCAAUAAGUAACUUGAUUCAUUGAUGUUCGCUUGAUUCUUUAAAUUCUUGAGACUUUUGUUCAGGAAAAAAAAACAAUUUCAACAAGAGGCUGAGGAUCUAGAGUUAAUAUGUAGAGAAAAAGAUAUGCUCUGCUUUUCUUACUUCCAACAAAGUUGCUUUCCGACCAA